AACGGCCACUGGGGGUGCCGGUCAAAACCGGCUGAGAGGGAGAGUUCUCCCAACCCUUUGAACCUGAUCCGGGUAAUACCGGCGUAGGGAAAGUGGGGUAACUGGAAG
rnacentral:ncRNA from 24 species